rfam:Camelus ferus unplaced genomic scaffold scaffold2080, whole genome shotgun sequence.
GAGGACAUAGCUCAAGUGCUAGAGCACAUGCCUAGCAUGCAUGAGGUCGUGGGUUCAAUGCCCAGUCCCUCC